AUUAAUUAAAUUACUAAAAGUACCAUAACUAUUAGCAAUACUGUAUCUUCUUUGUGUAUCACUCAGCUGUAGAUCUUCAAAUCAUCUCUGAAUUGGUGCUGACA